UACCUGGUUGAUCCUGCCAGUAGUCAUAUGCUUGUCUCAAAGAUUAAGCCAUGCAUGUCUAAGUAUAAACAACUUUAUACUGUGAAACUGCGUACAGCUCAUUAAAUCAGUAAUAAUUUAUUUGAUGGUCUCUUCUACAUGGAUAACCGUAGUAAUUCUAGAGCUAAUACAUGCGUAAAGUCCCGACUCGCGAGGGGAGGGAUGUAUUUAUUAGUUAAAAAACCAAUGCGAACCUCUGGUUCGGUCAUCUUGGUGAGUCAUAGUAACUGUUCGAAGCGCAUGGACUCGUUCCGGCGCUAGUUCAUUCAAAUUUCUGCCCUAUCAGCUUUCGACGGUAGUGUAGUGGACUACCGUGGCGUUAACGGGUAACGGGGAAUUAGGGUUCG
rnacentral:ncRNA from 1 species